UUCACCGAGUUGUAAACUUCGUAAAACGAUCCCAAUAGUUGGUAGUUCCGUGAGUUGUUCAUUUUGUUGAUUUUAACAAUCGGUCAUAUUCAGUUUUCUCUUAGGUUUACUGAAAUCUUCACGUGUAAAGCGUUUGGAGUGUACUGUUACACAAGGAAAAUACCUAUGAAUCAUCAGAUUUCAUCCUAAUGCGAUUUAACAUCCACUCAUACUGAUAGUUCAUCAGAAUGGGUCUAAUACCCGAGCCGCUAUUGUUCGUACUAGCUUUGAUCGAUACCGGUUCAGUACUUUUCCUUUUGGUGUAUUUUCUCAUAACUAUAUCGGACUUAGAAUGUGACUAUUUAAAUGCUCAGCAGUGUUGUUCAAAGCUUAAUACGUGGGUAGUACCAAAGCUUGUAGCACAUGUAUUCUUAGAAUUCCUGUUGCUAACGCAUGGCCAGUUAAUAUUAUGGCUGGUAAACUUACCUAUGACACUAUGGUUACUCUACGAAUAUUUCGGAGUACCCAAAGGUAAUAUGGGAGUUUAUGAUCCUACAGAAAUUCACAAUCGUGGCCAGUUAAAAAGGCACACAAGAGAUUGUAUGAUUUAUCUCGGAUAUUAUCUUAUAUUCUUUUUUAUUUAUCUUUAUUGCAUGAUUAUCGCGUUACUGAAAGGAGAUCCGAUCAGGAGAAAUGAAGAAGAUUUGGUGGAAUCAUAAUACAUAUAGCAACGCUAGUAAUAAUAUUUAACUUUUAUAUUCUUCUCUGUUUUACUUUGGUUCUCCACGUUAAGAAGAAUAUUAAAUGUUUCGGCGCAACUUUCCAAAUUAUAACUUGAGCGCCACGGUAUCGUCGGAGUGUAGUGAAGUACUGAAUAGCUCGUUAAUUCACCGAGCGUUAAAUCAAAUUGACUCGAGUUUAAUGGGCGCGGGACAACAAGAUCGGAUCGAUUUAAUGAACUCGUUGCAGUUGAUUAGUUUUUUCUGCGUAGAGGGUGUAUAUCUAUUUUUAUCCGAGUUCAAAAUUAGAAGGUAAUAAAAUAAUACGACCAGGUUUAUGAAACUUCUCAGACUAAGCACAAACGGUCGAUUUCUCUUUGACUAUACCAUGUAUUUUACGACACUCUGAAUAUGUUCUAAAGAUUAUUUAAUACGUAACGGAUGCGCAAAGUAUGCGGGAAGUGAAAUCUUCGAUUUCCAUUGAACGUCAUGAGUCGUCAACGAGGAAUAUUUCGAAACCAAAAGCGAGAGGUGAUAUUAAAUACUGUUCCGCCUGUACGUUACGGGUCACGAUUGACCCGUUACCGACCUUCCAUUGCGUUGUUAUUAAACUAUCGGCUCUCCGAGGGUUAAAUGCAAUGAAGGCAGAAAUAUUCUCAGCGAGCGUUGUAUAUACGAUCAGAAUAGAAGAUCGUUAAGUAGCGGAUAUUCAUUGAAUAUCAGGGUUCGCCGCGUUAAAAUCAAUUUGAGCGCGAUGAGGCGCACGUGUAGUGCGUUCCACAACUGGAUAAAAUUUCGUGGAAACAUCUUUCGAAUAUCGUUCGAACUGUUCAUUCCACGGAAUCGAAAAUUAGAUACGUCUCGCGAUAGAGAACGAAAAUUCCAAAAAACGAACGGAACGUUUUGUCAUAAAUUAUGAUAUACAUGUACGCGAUAAAAGCGAGCCGAGGUAGAAAAUAGUAUUACGGCGCAAGAAACCAUAACAUUUGCUACAGUAAAUUUAUUUUUAGUUUAACUAGGAGUACUCGCGUGUAUCAACGUACAGCGUCCAGAAUUUUCAUCGUUCGAGUAAUAUAAUUCGGUGAAGCUAAGCAGAUGCGUUUCAAAGUAAUGGUAAAAAUAUUUUCAGUAUUCCCCGAGUAAAAUCCUACCUUUAAGUACCGUCUUAAUGAACUUAUCGCAAAAUGUAUAUUACAUUUUUUCGA